rnacentral:rRNA from 1 species
AAGACCUUGCGCUUUUGGAGCGGCCGAUGUCUGAUUAGCUUGUUGGUGAGGUAAAAGCUUACCAAGGCUUCGAUCAGUAGCUGGUCUGAGAGGACGGCCAGCCACACUGGGACUGAGACACGGCCCAGACUCCUACGGGAGGCAGCAGUGGGGAAUUUUGGACAAUGGGGGCAACCCUGAUCCAGCCAUGCCGCGUGAGUGAAGAAGGCCUUCGGGUUGUAAAGCUCUUUCAGCCGGAACGAAACGGUUACGGUUAAUACCCGUGACUACUGACGGUACCGGAAGAAGAAGCACCGGCUAACUACGUGCCAGCAGCCGCGGUAAUACGUAGGGUGCAAGCGUUAAUCGGAAUUACUGGGCGUAAAGCGUGCGCAGGUGGUUUUGUAAGUCAGAUGUGAAKUCCCCGGGCUUAACCCGGGAACU